rnacentral:rRNA from 1 species
GAUGAACGCUGGCGGCAUGCCUAAGACAUGCAAGUCGAACGAAGUAGCCUAUAGAAAGUGGAGUGCUUGCACAAAGCUGGAAAUAGAUUCCUACUUAGUGGCAGACGGGUGAGUAACACGUGGGUAACCUACCUUAGAGACUGGGAUAACGUUUGGAAACGGACGCUAAUACCGGAUGAAUUAUAUAAAGAUAACUUUUUAUACUAAAAGGGGCUUCGGCCUCACUUUAAGAUGGGCUUGCGGUGUAUUAGCUAGUUGGUGGGGUAAUGGCCUACCAAGGCAACGAUGCAUAUCCGAGCUGAGAGGCUGAUCGGACACAUUGGGACUGAGACACGGCCCAG